CUACGGGUGGCUGCAGUGGGGAAUAUUGCACAAUGGGCGCAAGCCUGAUGCAGCCAUGCCGCGUGUAUGAAGAAGGCCUUCGGGUUGUAAAGUACUUUCAGCGGGGAGGAAGGGAGUAAAGUUAAUACCUUUGCUCAUUGACGUUACCCGCAGAAGAAGCACCGGCUAACUCCGUGCCAGCAGCCGCGGUAAUACGGAGGGUGCAAGCGUUAAUCGGAAUUACUGGGCGUGAAGCGCACGCAGGCGGUUUGUUAAGUCAGAGGUGAAAUCCCCGGGCUCAACCUGGGAACUGCAUCUGAUACUGGCAAGCUUGAGUCUCGGAGAGGGGGGUAGAAUUCCAGGUGUAGCGGUGAAAUGCGUAGAGAUCUGGAGGAAUACCGGUGGCGAAGGCGGCCCCCUGGACGAAGACUGACGCUCAGGUGCGAAAGCGUGGGGAGCAAACAGGAUUAGAUACCCCCGUAGUC
rnacentral:rRNA from 1 species